GAUGAACGCUGGCGGCGUGCCUAACACAUGCAAGUCGAACGGAAAGGCCCUGCUUUUGCGUGGUUCCAGAGUGGCGAACGGGUGAGUAACAUGUGAGUAACCUGCCCUUGACUUUGUGAUAACUUCAGGCAACCGCGGCUAACACCGACUAGGAGCUCCUGCUGCAUGGUGGGGGUCGGAAAGCUUCGGCGGUUGGGGAUGGACUCGCGGCUUAUCAGCUUGUUGGUGGGGUAGUGGCCUACCAAGGCUUUGACGGGUAGUCGGCCUGAGAGGGUAGCCAGGCACAUUGGGCCUGAGAUACGGCCCAGACUGCUACGGGAGGCAGCAGUGGGGAAUAUUGCACAGUGGGCGGGAGCCUGAUGCAGCAACGCCGCGUGCGGGAUGACGGCCUUCGGGUUGUAAACCGCUUUCGCCUGUGACGAAGCGUGAGUGACGGUAAUGGGUAAAGAAGCACCGGCUAACUACGUG
rnacentral:rRNA from 1 species